GGGUUGUGAGGUUAAGCGACUAAGCGUACACGGUGGAUGCCCUGGCAGUCAGAGGCGAUGAAGGACGUGCUAAUCUGCGAUAAGCGUCGGUAAGGUGAUAUGAACCGUUAUAACCGGCGAUUUCCGAAUGGGGAAACCCAGUGUGUUUCGACACACUAUCAUUAACUGAAUCCAUAGGUUAAUGAGGCGAACCGGGGGAACUGAAACAUCUAAGUACCCCGAGGAAAAGAAAUCAACCGAGAUUCCCCCAGUAGCGGCGAGCGAACGGGGAGCAGCCCAGAGCCUGAAUCAGUGUGUGUGUUAGUGGAAGCGUCUGGAAAGGCGCGCGAUACAGGGUGACAGCCCCGUACACAAAAAUACACAUAUUGUGAGCUCGA
rnacentral:rRNA from 1 species